UACGUAGGGUGCGAGCGUUGUCCGGAUUUAUUGGGCGUAAAGAGCUCGUAGGCGGCUUGUCGCGUCGUCCGUGAAAACCCACAGCUCAACUGUGGGCUUGCGGUCGAUACGGGCAGGCUAGAGUUCGGUAGGGGAGCGUGGAAUUCCUGGUGUAGCGGUGAAAUGUGCAGAUAUCAGGAGGAACACCAGCGGCGAAGGCGGCGCUCUGGGCUGGAACUGACGCUGAGGAGCGAAAGCGUGGGGAGCAAACAGG
rnacentral:rRNA from 1 species